UACUCAAAAUUUUGACCUCAAAUCAGGUAAGAAUACCCGCUGAAAUUAA
rnacentral:rRNA from 1 species